CCAUUAUCCUACGACAGCUUUAUUAUUAGCAUUUUAUCGAUUCUAUUUUGUAGGCCGUGCCCGUACGGACACGUACAUUAUAUUAUGAUUAUGUGCAUUUAUAUUUUUACUAGGUAUUCAUUUGUAUAAAAAAAAUCUGCGCCGAUGUUUUACUGUUUCCAUCACAACAAAGUAUAAUAUUAUUAUUACAUCUCUUGUAGUCGCGUAGAUAAAAUAGAGGAAAAAAUAUAUCGUUCCGUCUUUGCGCGUUGUGUUUCGUGUUAAAAUUAGACUGGAGAGAUGUCCGUUAUCGAAUCCAAAGAGGAGAUCUUAAUCUGUACGUGACCGUACGACGACAGUUAUUUUUAAUAUUUUUUUUUUUUUUCUGUAACAAAAAUGUUGCAAUAAAUUAUUAAUACAGUGUAUACAUAAUUAUACAGAUUUGUACGAGAUUAAAAUUAAG